CAAAGUAAAGCUAAAGGUUAGCAUUUCACUUACAUUGAAAAGGUUGUCGUAUCAAGCGAUUUAUUUUGA
rnacentral:tRNA from 1 species